rnacentral:rRNA from 1 species
UACAUAGGGUGCAAACGUUGUUCGGAAUUACUGGGCGUAAAGCGCGUGUAGGCGGCCCUGCAAGUCGGAUGUGAAAUCCCACGGCUCAACCGUGGAAGUGCAUUCGAAACUGCAGGGCUAGAGUCCUGGAGAGGAAGGUGGAAUGCUUGGUGUAGAGGUGAAAUUCGUAGAUAUCAAGCGGAACACCGGUGGCGAAGGCGGCCUUCUGGACAGUGACUGACGCUGAGACGCGAAAGCGUGGGGAGCAAACAGG